ensembl:lncRNA
UGAGUUUCCUGUUUGUUUUUUUUACUCACUGACUCACCUACUAAUUUAUUUAGCUCCUGCAAAUAACCUACUCUGGAGAACCAUAAAGGUUUAAUGUUAGUCUUCUAAUAUUCCUAAGAUUGCAUAAAGAGGGAGGAUACACUAAUACAAAUGUCGAAACCAACAUUAGAAAAAUAAAUGAGUAAGAGCUACAGGUAUAGUAACAACAAUGGCAAAGUAUUAGUAAUGGUUACAACAAUAAGCAGUUCUUUAGCAGUUGUACAAGGAAGUGAAACAUUUCCUGGAAAAUGAAACAUAAAGGUGAGUGUCAUGGGUGUGGUGCACAUACUGAACUAUCUGUCUGACUGCUCAAACACGGUGAUCGUCGCUCUAGAAGGUUUUCUCGAAUUUGUUGAACCAUGGAAACCGGAACGAUCAGCGAAUCGGUAAAUGUCUUUAUUUUUCCUUUUUUUCUUUAAAAAAAAAGUACAUUGACUGAGUUAAAGCAAAUGAAAUUACUGCACUUAUAUAUGUAAAACCUACUAAUUUGGAAUUUCUUUUUUUUUUUUUUUUUUUUUAAAUAUAAGAACACACAAAAGAAAGCUUUCACAAAGAGGUAAGUAAAUGAGUUUUGUAGAAAUAUGAUCCUGCUAACCAAAUGUAAAAUGAAUCACUCUGCUCAGCCAUGUUGCCUCUAACUUUGACUACACUCCUAAUACAGACUUUAAAAGAAGUGAGUUAUUGGACUAUUCAGUGUGUGAUUUGCAGUACAUUUUGGAUUUGCCAAAUUACUGACAUCUGUUAUCUCUGAAAACAUUUUAGGUUGUUUAGUAUAGCAUGUUAUCACUGUAAAUAAAUAAAAAAUUAACUAACUUUAGGUUUUUAACUACAUAUUUGAAUUAUUCUUCUUUCAGGAAAUGCAGUAAAAGUUACUUUCAACAAGAAUCAAAAAGAUUGAAGACUUAAGAUCAGCCGGUUUAUUAUUAAUCAAUUGCUUACUGGUAAAGGUAAUAAAAACAAAAAACUGGACAAUCUCUUUGUCCACAUUGAUGAGAUGCUUCAUAGCAUUUUCUUCCUCGGGUACAUUUAUAACCCCAAGUUGACUCCCAGUGAGUUCUUCAGAAAAUCUACAAUAGAUAAAUUGAAGGAAUUGUUUCCUGAGUCAUCACAAAAUCUUACACUUGAAUUGAAGGAUGAAUUGAUGGAAUUGUUUCCUGAGCCAUUUGAGAAGUACAAAAGUCAUCUGCCAACUCGCACACCCUUUUCCAUUCUGCUAAACAUGAUGGAGAUACUUUAUGGCACUGAAGACAAAAUAAAAGAAAAUCUUCAGCUUCUGCUUAAAGAACUCAAAUUCCCAUACCCCCUUCACAAGUCAGGCGAUGAAUAUCAGCAUUAUUACACACUGGAGGCGACAGUAAUCUGUGUGUGUUAUUCAGAAACUCAUUUACAAAAGAAGUACUACGGGGCAUCUCUUUCCUGCAGAUUACGAAAGGCAAAGAGAAUUUUGAUCGACCUGUCUUGUCUUAAAACAUGGCAUGAGUUUGUAUCUCAUGCAGUCAUGUCAUUUACUUCAGGAGAUCGGUACAAUGGCAUAACAUUCCCUGAGUCAGUGAAAUGUCAGGCGUACAUUAGAGACUGGAAUGAAAAUGUUUAUAGAAAAAGACGUCCAUGUUUAAAUUGUGCACAACUGUUUAAUCUACAAGAUGCAGACUUAGGUAGCGUGAAUCAUCCCUAUGGGAACUGUGCUGAGACAGAGUGCUUGAGCAAACUACUUUGCGAUAAUAAAGACAUACGAGAGAACACACGGAUGGAAAAUCAUACAGAGGAAAACUUGGAGAAUCUCAGAGAUUCAACAAAAGCACGCGUGCUAAAUGAUCUUGCUGAGGUUGGCAUUCAAAUGAAUAAUGAGAAUUUUCUCUUCUACAGCCCAAUGCCAAUGCCACCUUUCUAAGUAUACUAGUAGUUAUAUCAUACACUUUCUGUCAAACUGUCAAUCAAAGUGUUGUGUGUGAUAAUUUAUGACCCUCUGUGCUUCCCUGACUGACAGGUCUGUAGGGGUGGUGAGGGGGGUAACCCUAUGUAGUUUAUCAGAUGAUCAAUCUGGCUCCUUUGUGUCUGGGGGUGUUGUGGAGAGGUGUGUGUUGGGGGGGGGGGGAUAGUCCCCCUCCCAACGAAAGGUGUUUAUGUUAAUGAGUUUGGUUUUUGGUGGGGUAAAACACGUAUGAAAAUAAAUGAUGUUUUAAUAUGGGGAUGUGUUUGUGUUACUUUGUGGCGUUAUUUCGUUUGUGUAAACACAUUGUUAGAAAAGCAUGAUGUUUGAAUGUGUACAUAUAUGAGUAGAAUAUUUGUUUUGUGAAAUAAAUGAAAACAAUUGUUGAUUAUGUUUUUUAGGGAUCCCGUUUUACCUUUGAAUAAAAAGUUUAGAGUUAAAGCGUCUUUUUUUUUUUUUUUAAAGAAUCUGUUUAAAAUAAUCGUUUGUAUUACAUACAUUCUAAACACAAACCUUUAGGAUGUAAAAAUGAUCAAAAGAGCUGUUUAAAAAGAAUCCGUAUUACUAGGUUUCCAAAAAAACACAUAAAAACUUUAGGAGGUAAAAAUGGUUAAAAGAGCUGUUUAAAAGAAUAGCGCAUAUUACACGACUUCUAAACAAAGAUCCUUACGAGGUAAAAAUGUUAAAGUGCUGGUUAAAAGAUGUUUAAACUAGGAGAUUUUUUCCAGAGUUGUCUUCCAGUCGCUGUGUUAAGCAGUAAUGAAGUUAAACUGAGACACCUCACUCUCGCUAAACCCCGCCCACACAUACGUGUUUUCAGACACGCCCCUCUCUCUCUCUCUCUCUCUCUCUCUCUCUCUCUAAACACACCCAUACACGUGUUUUCAUCGUAGCCAGUAGGUUCUGUCAAAAUGUCAAUCACGGCGGUAGAACUAGAGGGCUAAUUUAUGGUUUGUGUUUUUCCUGACCGACAGUUCUGUAGGCACACCUAAUUUAUGGCCAGGGGUGGUGGGGGUAACCCUAUCCACUGUAUCAGUGGGUCUUUUUGGCACCUGUAUGUCUGGGUUGUGUCCUUCCAUUCCUGGGGGUGUGUGUUUUGUGUACUGUGGGGGAUCUCCCCCAACAAAUGUGUUUAUGUUAAUGACACUGUUGUGAAACGUGUUUCUCCCUGAAUUAAUCACACACAAAUGUAUACCUUUUUGUGGUAUAAGAGAAUGUUUGUUUCUGAACUUACUUUUGUGGUAUUGUUUUAUUUUGAAGCUUAAGGGUGGUUUAGGUGAAAUAUGUCUGAAAAGAAUAUCAAUGUUUAAUAUGAGCGUGUGUUUUUGUUACUGUGUGGGUUAUUUUGUUUGUGUAAACACAUUGUUAGAAAAGCAUGAUGGUUGAAUGUGAAUAUAUAUGAGCAGAAUGUUUGCUUGUGAAAUAUAUGAAAAAACUGUUGAUUACGUGUUUGAGAGAACGGCAUGACUUUGAAUAAACAUUUACUGAAAUAAAAACCCCUGAAACAGAUAAA